UGAUUCCUUAGUAUCUCAAGGACUAGAGGAAGUGGAUAAAAGCAGUCAAUACUACUUUAAUGUGCAGAACUCUUUCUUGUCAGGAUUAGGAAAAUUUGUGGAUCUAGGUUGCAUUUUGGGAGUUUGCCACUAUAAUCCAGUAGGCUUCCCAGCUCUAGCUCAACGGUUGGCAUUCCAGCAACAAGUAAAACACAUAAGAAAAUUCCAUGGUCACUCCAAUGUUUUCCGUGCAUGGUUUGGUGCAUCCAAGCAGGGUAUAGCCAAUAUUAUACUUCAUGGUUUGGUGCUUGUAUCAACUCACUUGAUGGUAUUUCUUAUGUCAAUGGUCUUUAUCUCAAUUCGGAAGGAAACUCCUACCUCAGUGUAAAAAAUUGUAGAGUUGAUGAGAAUGGCAUUCAAUACAUAUUAUUGUGCAAAGUAAUCAUGGGGCGCAUGGAGAAAAUAGAACCAGGAUCCCGUUAGUGGCACUCAAGUUCUGAUACUUUUUAUAGUGGUGUGGAUAACCUUCUGAAUCCAAAAACUUAUGUCAUAUGUGGUUCACAUGUUAAUCUUCACAUAGAACUGGAGUGCAUUGUCAAUUUUCAUCUUCCU